rnacentral:lncRNA from 1 species
GAGAUUCUGUCAUGUCAUCACUGGUUCCUGUGGAAAUGCUCCUUCUCAGGCUGCUGAAGAGAAUCUCUGUGCUUCUGGGAAGGCUUCAUGGACCUGGUGCCUGUGGAGCUGUUCCUACCUCUCAGCUCCACAUGGGAGCUCUUGUUUGUCUUUUGGCGACCAGUAUUGGAGAGGGCACGGAUUGCAUGGAGCACUGGGUAUGGUGCAAAAAUAAUGAAUACUGUUACACUGAAAAAAAAAAUAAAUGAAUUAAAAAAAUAUGUCUCUUUCCAUAGU